UAGUUGAUCCUACCUAUCCCCACUACUGGCAUGGAUGAAGCUGAGGGAUACGAGUUUGGCUUCGUGUAUUCUCGAAAGUGGUAGAAAGAGGAACCGAGUCUCGAUGGUCUGCGCAAACAUCCAGAUUACGUGACUGCUGCUACCGAUGACGUCAGAGCCGAGGAUUAACGAUGUUAACCGAAGUGUACAGAGUUGUGUGACGAUUGGUGGAAAGUGUCCAGCGUCCUGGGUUGCUAGGAUACGCCAGAUGAUCCACGAGUGACGAUGGUCGGAGUAAAGGUAGACAGCCGGUGCGGGGGUACCGGGGUGAAACAACACCGGGGACCACACACGCGGAAUGUCAAAAUGAAUGAAAACAUCAAACUCGUCUCACUCCGAUAAUGAGGAAGGAGAAGAGGUCCGGCAGAAUUAAAAUGAACCCGAUGGAAAUAAAAAAGAAUGGAAUAUCAAAACUUUUUCCCUCUCUUGGAAGAAUCCAAAUCGAUUAACUUAUUAUCCUGUCGUAACGUUUCCGUAACGAUACGACUUCAUUGAAAUAUCCACCGAGGGCCCACCAUUAACUGAAUUCCGAAAAAGACGGCUUGGAAUCGGAGAAAGUGCCUCUGGAGAAAAAGAGCGGCCAGGGGGAUGGGAGAGAGACAACUUCUUUGCAGUUUUACACGGUAAAUUUUUCAAUGAACUCGAAGAAUUGAAUCAUUUAUUUUUUCCUUUUGAAUUUUUACAUCUUCACACUUCAACUUCAAUAACAUCGCAAAUUUCAUAAUUUCUGAUUGAAUAAAUGCCAAUGAACACGUUAAUGCCCUGCUUUUGGGCUCGAAAUACAACCGGCCGUAGAAGAGUCCCAAAAUUUUCCUGACAUAAAUAUUUGUCGAGUGGUUUUAUACAACAGGAAAGGGUCUGUCCUCUAAUAUUCAAUCAGCGGAAAAUUACCGCACCGUGCAAUAAAAUUUGUCGACUCUUCAGUAACAGUUAUCUAGCUGUUCAAUAAAAAUUAAUUGAGCCUUAGUCAUCUUUUUCAAACGGUCAAGUGAUUUUUACUUACCAGUCGACAAAUUUUCCUGACCAGUGCGAUAAUUUUUCCUCAACGGCCCUGUUGUAUCCCCACUAUUUUAGGGUAUUCAGUUAGUGCUUAUAAAAUGAGCUCCCCACCAUCUGUUGGAGCAUUGCCAACCAUUCCUGAGAACCCUCAACCCUCUCGACCAUUUUGUCUAUUUCCAAAAUCCCUCCAAAUCGUUCCAUUACACAGCAAUCCUCAUAAAAAUACUUUCUACGGUCCCGGUAAUCCCUCGGACCCCUAAUUAGGAACUUCUGCCAAUCCUCCCUCUCCAACUCCUAGACAAACCCCUCUUGACAUUGAUGAGGUCAACCUCUGGAGGUCAUACUCACCCAGUCGCCCACCUUGGGUCCUUCUCCGACCACCCCCAUUUACGAAUAUUGUGCGAACAUACCACGAUUACCAGACGGUACGGUAAUUUCUACUGAUUUUUUCUCUCCGUGCAGUUCUCAACAUAUUCAUGUACUUUUACUUCGACCCUUAUGCGCAUUAGGAUCGCGUCCUUGGGGGCUAAACGGAGAUCUGGGAACUGGCGAGGAUUUUAUGCGCCACGUGAAUCGGUGGUUUUUCCAAAAAAAUCCGGCAGAAGUAAGAGUUCCCUGAAAUGCUCCAUGACGUCCCUCGGGCCCACUUUGACACGCUAGAAGUUUUGGGACGUUUAGUGAAUGUACGAUGCAAUAGCCCUAAUGCUGAAAAAAAUAGGGGAGAUCCAUCACAAUGAAAGGCAUUGUAACAUAAAGCUGCACUUGCAUUAUUACAUCGUGACGCAAGAGAGCGGUAGUUUUUUUUUUGAAGUUCAAGCGUGACAAUUAAAUUGUGAAAGCCGUAAAAUCGGAACAAGCUACCGCUCUCAUCGGUACUGAAAAUUCUCAAAAAUGAGGAGUAAAAAUUGUGAAUUUUCUAGAAAGUGGAUGAAUUGAAAAUCCGUCCAUUAUGUAUUAUUCCAGGGUGUGUAGAAUUGUUAAAGAUGUCAACGUAUGGAGACUGAUAUUUUUGCUUCCGCAAGAUUCUCGCCACAGUUUCACGUAUUUUAUCAGGUAGAAAUCUGGGGUGAAUGAAUUAUUGCACCCUGAACAUUGGAUUUUGUUUCGCACCUUUGCGGUCAGAUGUUUUCAAAGCGUUAGAAGUAAACAUAGAAAAACGACGAUGGGAUUUUUCCCCCGGGGGAGAAUAGUCUCCGUGGAAACACUUCGGGUAGCUGAGCCUUUUCUUUUUCUGCUCGCUGACAUUUAAAUAGAAAUUUGAAAAAAUAGAGAUGAAGAUAUACGAAAAAUCCGAGAAGUCAGUAAAUUUUACCGCAACUACCUGUUCAUCUGUAUCACCCUGUUUGCGUAGGACGGGACCACCCAAGUUGUUCGACGCCUCUGUUAUCUGCCUUGGAAGUGACUUAUGUUAGUGGAAUUCUCAGAAUGUAUGAAUUCGUAUUAAAUAUUUUGAAAAGUUAGACUGUAACAAUGACUAGAGAUUGAUCCGAACGAUUAUAAAUGAUAAUGAUGUUCCUUCCGAAACAGUACUCCCCUCUCAUCCUCAGCGAAUCACAACGAGUUACCAAAAAAUUGCUGGAUGACACCGCAAAAAAGGCCCAAUAAAAUAAACUGACCCAGAUAGGAAUUUUCGAAAGAUUUCUAUCAAUUUUUUAUUAAACCUCAAAUAAAAAAUGAUAGACCGUCAAAUUUUAUAGUACCGUUUAAUAAAUUUUACGAAGCCACAUAUAAUUAAUUACACAAUUUCCGGUAAUGAUAGGAAUUUUUAUGUGUGAGUACUUGGUGUGCCAGGCACCUGGCCCGGUACAGUAAUUUUUCAGACUUUUCCCGCUGAAUUCAAAAAAAUUCCUGGAGCCCCUCAAUUCAGAUGAAAACCGCAAAUUUGUUUUCUUGACUAUAUAUUCAAUGCAUAUUCUUCCUUUUCCUUAUUACCUCAUCGUCCCUAAUCUCACGACACCAGUGCGAGAAACGUGCUUUACACUUAGUGCCACACGAUUGUACUCGUGUGCGCCACAAACGCGUGUAAAACAGCCCGAGAACUCUUCGACCACCCAAGUUGUAACCGCGUAAGUCUCCUCUCCACCCCCUUCUUCCUCGUUCUUCGUUUCUCCAAUAUACCGUCUCAUAUUCACGUACACGUGAAUAUCUUUAACCCGUUCAAAUAUGUGAUGCCAGUAAUGGUCUACACGUUUGCAAUCGAGAGAGAACGACUUCGACUGUCGUUCACAUAAAAAAAUAAUAAAAUUACCAUCCAGUGUCAACUCCAUGCACGUAUACAUAUUACCUUAUCGUGUUUCUCCGACAGUUUAGUUUGCCUCAUCUUUUCAAAAAAUAUAUUCAACAUUUUUUUUGUGAAACAUUUGUUGUGUACGAUUUUUUUGACAUGGGGGUGAAUUAAAGAGAGGGUGAAAGGCGCAUUGUCAAGUGGAUACGGCCCCUUAGUAGCGUAAACUUGUUGGGUGGUCUCAGCUCUCACCGUGGGCGGUCACUCACUAACACCGUUUUGGUAUUAAAUAGUCCUCACAGUUGAAGAGAGAGACAGAUGCACCAUUUCCUCUUCGCUCGACUGAUUUUCGAGUGACCAAUAAAGUUUCCCUGAAUCGUAACUAACGAGAAAUUUUUACUGACAACUAAAAUCACAAGUCAAUGGGUUAUGUGCUUAUAUGGGGGGUAAAUGGGUAUAUAUUAUCAUUCCUAUGUGCAAUAGAAUAAUAGUUUUGUACAGGAAAAUUCUUCAUCGAAAAAAUUCAGCAGAAAUUAUCCAACUCCUGGGUUGGUUGAUUUUUCAACAAACACAGCACGUUGUAGACCUCUCAGGGACUAACGGAGAACACUCGGGUUGUUUAUGACCCAAACAGCCCAUCACCUGGACAACCCCAUAGACAGAAGGGCCUUGUCGCUGGGGCAGAGCUCUCACCCUGGACGAACCGAGGACGAGGGACACUCCGAAACGGUCGCUGGAGCAAGCCACACCGGCUUAUCAACCUAACUAGGACCCUCCCCGGGAAGAGUUGGGAUAAUUCAUCAUCCGAGUUGCCCAUGUGGAUCUGGAGUUCAAGAUGUAGACCACAUUCUAUGGAACUAUCAAAAAAACCGUCAACAACCGCCAGAACUUUAAAAAAAACUGUUAAAAACGUAGCUCAUAAAAAAACCGUGAAUUACAAAUCUAACAAAUUAUGUACUACAGGGAAAAUAAAUAUAUACCGAAAAUCACUGUAAUAGAAUGACAGUGUAAAUACCCCGCAUUAUAGGUUCCAUCACCACAAAUAAAUAAAUUAAAAAACCGAGUAGACGUGAAACUACAUGGAAGGAGAUAAUUAUUUACAACAUUUCCCAAACAAAAACCGUCCCCCAGGUUUUCUUUCGACAACCCCUUCUCUCUAUGUGGCCAAUGUUAACCGAACGAUGAAAAUAAAAAAAUGCGGUUGAAUUAGGGGUGUGUGUGUGUGAGGUAUCAUUGAAGGGAUAGAAUAUAGGUCCCAGGCAGUGUCCAUGUGCGUGUCGAACCGUUGAGCUCUGGCAUUCAUGGAAAAUAAGGUAGCGCGCAGGCGUAUAAGGUACAACGACUACGAGAGGCUUCAAUGUGGGUGGUCACAAGCUGAGAUUUGCCUUCCGCUAAAUAUCGCCUUUGCGCACCACAACGUGGGUGGUCCCCCACCUUACUUUAACCCCCACUAUACUUUUCUCUGUCUUGCGCGAUGCAAACUUACACGCGUAUAUACAGGGUGUCCAAAAAUGAAAUGUCAUCCUUGUGAAUGUACACUGUUACAUAGCGAAAAAAUUGCGGUGAAAAUUGCCCUUCCCCUUCGUAAAUGUAGUUUGCAAAUUUUUUGAUAAAUGAAAAUCAGAUCUAGUGGAUGAAUUAGGGCUGCGCCAGUUGCAUUGGCUGUCGGCUUAAUCGUACUUUGGCAUUUGGCGCAGAAGGGGCGCCUUAAGGAGGUAAGGGGCGGCUAAGGCGAGUGAUCGCAACGCGUGUGGUCCUCGUGUGCCACAAUCAAGGCGAAUGGAGAGACGAGCCGACAUCGUCGAUCGAUCGAUCAACGCUAUCAUCGGAUAUUUAUUUUUAUAUGAAAUGCACUGGCGAGAUAGAGGGAAUUCUUUGGCAAUUAAUUAGAAAGGUGAGGGUAAUAAGAAUGCGGAACGAGAGCGGCACGGGGUGGAGGGUUGGUUGGA